rnacentral:rRNA from 1 species
UACAGAGGUCUCAAGCGUUGUUCGGAUUCAUUGGGCGUAAAGGGUGCGUAGGCGGUUUGUCGCGUCGGGAGUGAAAUCCACUGGCUUAACUGGUGGCUUGCUUUCGAUACGGGCAGACUGGAGGUAUGCAGGGGAGAACGGAAUUCCUGGUGUAGCGGUGAAAUGCGCAGAUAUCAGGAGGAACACCGGUGGCGAAGGCGGUUCUCUGGGCAUGUCCUGACGCUGAGGAGCGAAAGUGUGGGGAGCGAACAGG